GAGGACAACUUUCCAAAGUCGUUGAACUUAGAGGCCGAAAAUGGCUGCCUCUAAUCCUCUAAUCCUUAAAUCCUUACUCAACCUCCACUAAGCCUAAUAUCACACCCAAAGUUCUAACACGCAAACCUUGCUCACAACCUAGGAAUUCUACAUCUUAACAAGCUCACAACAACAAGAGCUAGCUAAAACACAGCAACCUAAGCCAUAAACAUAGUCGAACGCGCUGCCACGCGCCGCCACAGGCGGCGGCGAGUUGGCCCCACGCGCCAAAAACUUUCGAAUUUGAGAAAACUCUCAACAGCAAAGUUGAAGCUUGAAGCAAAGGGAACAACUUUCAUACCUGAGGCUUCAACCAAUUUUGGCCGGAACCGGCCGGAAAAUGCCACGAAACCCUAACCCGGAAUCAAACUUCAAACUUGCAAAUCCGGGCUCAAAAACCUCAAAACUUGAUUCAAUCUAUGCCUAGACACUACCAGGAGGAGGAGAGGAUCAAGACUCACCUAAGGAUGCCCCUCGUCGCCGCCGGAAACGGCGAGUCCGACCGGAGACACAGCAGCCCUCUUUCCAGCAAUAAGGCUCCGAUUCCGGCGUGCCACACCGAGCAGCAGCUGCCCAGUCUUGAAGAGAGCACUUGUGGGAGUCAAAUGGGACCAGUGGCGGUCCAAUUGGUGGCUGGACGGCGGAGCUAGCUCCGGCGGAAGUUUGGUGUGCGGGUGAGUUCGGGAGAGGAAGAGAGAGAAAAGAGAGAAGAGAGUGAACUGGGUGAGGAGAGUGAGAAGAGAGAGAGCUGAUUUGUGUUAGGGUUUCCAAAAUAACCCACACACAAUUUUCUACUUAAACACUUUCCACACCCGGAAACUAACUUCCUCUGACCAUAACUUUCUCAUACGACAUCCGUUUUAAGCGUACCGUAUGUCUACGAACUCGUAUCGACAAACUCUACAACUUUCAAGAAGGAAGUUUUCGAAAAUAACUUACGGAAAAUAAAGUCAACUUUUGGCCUCUUAAAAGUCAAAACACCUUAAAAUAAACUCCUGAAACUUCAACUUCGCAUAAACCAAAGAAUUUCCAUAAAUAAUCCUUCAUUAAUUAAGGAAAUAAUACAAGAAAAAAUGAUAUGAAAAUCUAGGGUAUUACAAGCAAUAUCGCCAAGGAGAAAGAAGAACAUAACCUCGACAUCGCUUAACCCGAGUUCCUAUCUCUUCCAUUGUGUCUUCCAUGCUAUCUUUAUUUCUAGUCAUGUUUUCUUUGGCUAUGGAUUUCUAAACUUCUAGCUAGGGCUGAGAUAAAGCCCCCAGUAUGAUUACUCUAUUUUUUUAGUUGAUUUCUUUUGAAUUCAUGGAUUUCUAUGUUAAAUUCUCAAUCACUGUUUCAAUUGAACUUUUAUUCAAAAUCUUUGCUCAGGACCAAUAAGACCUAGGUUUUGUUUAUUAGUUAUUUGGCUAGAAAACAUGAGACUUGAUCGAGAGUAGAUGUUUUCUAGGGUUUCAAAGGAUUUAUUUAAUCUUGUGAUUAGAGAGUUGUAAGUUAAGGAUACAAGUGUUUGAUCAUAGUCGAUAUUCUUGUUUACAUGAUCUCCUAGUUCUUUUGUGUUUAAUGGAGUUGAACAUGUGUCAGGACCCACCCCGGAUUUCACCCUGAAAUCCGGAAUGAACACUGCGGGGAUCAACUCCAAAGAAGAUGCUACCGGAAAUUCAGCAUAACAUCCCUUGAAAAUAGACAACUCUUCCUAAAAACACCUGCAAACACACUUAUAAAAAAAUCAUACUCCAACCUUGUACUCCUGGAGCCUUCCUGCUCCCCAAGUUCAUCACAUCUCCCAAAAUAUCAAAUACUAAUCUAAAAGAAUCUCACUUCUAACAACAAAGACAUUUAAUAAUUUAUUAACUCGAUUAUCAUAACAUAUAUAAUAAUGAAAGAAAAAUAAUGAAUAAAGAAUAAGCGGAAACAGCCUCUGACUAUGCCUCGACUCUAUGUACGCUCGACCUCAAAUAAACUUAGUCUGCAAACUGGGCAUUUGAAACCGAAGAACCCAGAGGAAAGUAAUUUAAAACGUUAGAGUGAGUGGACAAAAAUAAAUUGAAUAAUUUAACAUAAAUGUAAUUUAAAUACUUUCCCACGUUUAAACUUUAAAAACUUAGAUGCACGCAACUUUAAUCAUCCAAAAAAACUUUAAAUCCAGAGUCACGAAAGAAUGAACAAACCAGCAAUACUGAAAUUUUGUAAGAAGAGACAAACCAGCCCCGUUGGUUAAUCAAUUACAUAAAUGAGAAAAUAAAACAAGGGGAAGAAAUAUAUCACCAUGUAAGAGGAGCUUCUUAGACUCGGGUCGGAACCUCCCAGACUCUAGUAGCGUCCCACGCUAAGCGCUCGACUCACCUAUGGUGAGGACCGUUAAUAAAGGCUAGCUAGCAAUGAACAAUAACCGAUUAGUGUCUCCCAGGCUAUAAUAGCGUCUCACGCUAAGCGCUCAACUCACCUAUGAUGAGGACCGCAUGCUAGCUAGUAAUGAAUAAGAGCUAGUAUGGUGACUAAAAACAUACGAAAUCACUAUUCAUAAAGCUUCCCUAAGAUCAUGUGAAUAGUACGGUUCUCAACCGUACUUAGAAAUUAUCAUCAGAAAUUAAAAUAAAACUCAAUGACGUGUCUCACGUCAAAAUAUUCUCAAAUUUAUAAUUAUAAGCGAGAUUUCAUUAUAAAUCAUAAAUAAUAUCUCCACCUGAAAUACUCACUAAACAAUUCUCAAUGUCAAGAUCAUUAUGCGACAAAUAAACGAGAAAAUUAUGAUGGAGAACUACCAGAAGUCCCAUUUUCGGUAUUCUUUUAUAAAUCUCAAAGUCAACAAAUAAAACAAUAAGAAUUAAAUCCGGAAUUGAUAAAGAAUAUCAAAACUCAAAUACCAAAUUAAUAACCCGACCUCAAAUCCAUAAAUCAUGACAAACUCUUAAUCAAUGCAUCAAACUCAAAUAAAUUUCAAGACCAUAUCAUAAACCGAAAUUUAUAAUAUAAGCUCGGAAAAUAGAAUGAUAAUUUCCAAAAUAAACCAUGCAUGCUUAUUCAUUUAAAAACAAAGUGUCCACUCACCGUAUUAGGCAUAAGCUUUCCAUUGCUCAUGACACUCCUCGCGCGCUGCCUCCAAAUAUCCAAGUCCUUGAGUCAAUCCCACACCUGACCAUAAGCUGUAGGACAAAUCGGUCAAACCGAACUUUGAAAUAACCAUUGCCUCGUCUUCUUUCCUAGUUUGACUCGGGUUUCCUAGGUUGACCAGGAUUUACCAAUUAACGAUGUUCAACGUUUUCCAAUCCAACCUUUGACUUAACAAUUCGAUACAAUUUUCACUAUACGUCCUACUAACAGUUAGGCACUUAGGCGUCGCUUAAUAAUUCGUUUUGGUGAACCUCGAUUUUGAUUAAUCAAACUAAUGUAAUUUGAUUAACUCAAAAACAUACGAACCACCUUAAUCUGAAAAACCACCAAAUUACUAAGGGCACCCAAAAGGGUUUGCAUAACCGAAAAGUUUUCAAAAAUGGAAAGUUUCUUAAAAUAGAAACUUUCAUAACUUGGUAAUUUUUCCAAUUACAACCCGAACUUUCCUAUUUCCGAAGUGACAUAAAACAAAAACAAAACAUCGAUCACUACCUCUACCAAAAUAUUUUGCCGGAAUUUCACGAUAGUCUCCCUGUAUCUUCCAAUCUGCAAGUUAUCGACAAGCAUGUAGAAAAUUAAACGAUUUAACCACCAGUCCAACAGAAUAUCGCACUAGCCACAACACAGAAGCUUUUAAGAAACGGGAUUUACCCUCUACUUUCCAGAACGAAGAAUACGAUAAUCGAAGCUCCUCCUUACCUCAGCCAUGACCAAAUCGGAGAACCAACAGAAAAACAGGGAACCUCCCUUCGCCAGAAAACCUCUGCCUCCAACCCUUCCCAGGACGCGUCUUGGCUCCAAUCAACUAUUUCUAGACUCACCGGAUCUCGGUGGUCUCGCUAGAGCACCAAGAACAAACUCGCCGGAAAAACCUCGACAAAAACACAAAAGAGGGUUUUUUGAAUUAGUGCUCGAAUUAAGAAAACAAAGACACCAAAAGGGAGAGGAAAGAGAGGCGACCAAGAAUAUACCCAACGAAAUCGUCAUCUCCACCGAAGCUCGUUGGGAAUUGAAGAAGAAGACAACCGCACACCACCGCGAUCAACCUCCCUCUAUAAUGGAUGCAAGUUAGAUUGUUUUGGCUAGGCUAGGAAGGAGAGAAGAAAAGAAGAAGUUUAAUGGUGGUCUCGCCGUCUGGGGUGGCCGGAAGAGGCCAGUGCGUGGCGGAGGAGGAUGGCUACGACGGAGAGAGAGAGAGAGAGAGAGAGAAGAAAAAGGGAGACGGGUCAAUGCCCAUAGGGGGCUUUUGACCGAACUCAACCUCCUAUUUUCCUUUUAUGUUUAAUCCAAAGGCCAAGAUCAAAACCCUAAUUGAUCCGACGGCCCAGAUUAAUCCACAAUUUUCUAAUUUCAGAAAAAUUAAUUUCUUUUUAC
rnacentral:lncRNA from 1 species